rnacentral:rRNA from 1 species
GUGGGGAAUAUUGGACAAUGGGCGAAAGCCUGAUCCAGCCAUGCCGCGCGAGUGAUGAAGGCCUUAGGGUUGUAAAGCUCUUUCAGUAGGGAAGAUAAUGACGGUACCUACAGAAGAAGCCCCGGCUAACUUCGUGCCAGCAGCCGCGGUAAUACGAAGGGGGCUAGCGUUGUUCGGAUUUACUGGGCGUAAAGCGCACGUAGGCGGAUUGGUCAGUUAGAGGUGAAAUCCUGGAGCUCAACUCCAGAACUGCCUUUAAUACUGCCAGUCUAGAGUCCAGAAGAGGUGAGUGGAACUCCUAGUGUAGAGGUGGAAUUCGUAGAUAUUAGGAAGAACACCAGUGGCGAAGGCGGCUCACUGGUCUGGUACUGACGCUGAGGUGCGAAAGCGUGGGGAGCAAACAGGAUUAGAAACCCUUGUAGUCC